rnacentral:rRNA from 1 species
GUUUGAUCCUGGCUCAGGAUGAACGCUGGCGGCGUGCCUAAUACAUGCAAGUCGAGCGAACGGACGAGAAGCUUGCUUCUCUGAUGUUAGCGGCGGACGGGUGAGUAACACGUGGAUAACCUACCUAUAAGACUGGGAUAACUUCGGGAAACCGGAGCUAAUACCGGAUAAUAUUUUGAACCGCAUGGUUCAAAAGUGAAAGACGGUCUUGCUGUCACUUAUAGAUGGAUCCGCGCUGCAUUAGCUAGUUGGUAAGGUAACGGCUUACCAAGGCAACGAUGCAUAGCCGACCUGAGAGGGUGAUCGGCCACACUGGAACUGAGACACGGUCCAGACUCCUACGGGAGGCAGCAGUAGGGAAUCUUCCGCAAUGGGCGAAAGCCUGACGGAGCAACGCCGCGUGAGUGAUGAAGGUCUUCGGAUCGUAAAACUCUGUUAUUAGGGAAGAACAUAUGUGUAAGUAACUG